rnacentral:lncRNA from 1 species
UGAUGACUUGUUUGAGUUUGAUUAUUGUUGUUGGGCCUUGGUCAAGGUUGAUUUGACUUUGUCAAAUUAAUAUCAUUGGAUUUAGGGGAUUGAUGGAAUGUACAUUCCAUCUCCCAAAAUGAAUGGAUGAUAUUAAUUUGGUAAAAGUCCUCCUUUGACCAAUUUGUGUUUUGAUUCAUUCCCCUCCCACUUCAUCUUAUUCCCC